GAAGUGCCAAUGCCUGACUGCUGCAGAAGUGUGAAAGCUCAUCUCUCUUACCUUAAAGCGAUAACAGCUGCAUGGCCAGAAGCUGUCUGACUAGACUCUGGAGUCUCAUGAAGCUUCGCAACUUCCAGAGGAAGACUUAAAUGGUAAAUCGCCAUUACUUUUGGUCAAAUUCAGCUCCUUUCUCAGCAGCAGCUACGCAUUCCUCACCCUCCAACCUCUUGGCAGACAGUCCUACGCGUGUUCCAGAGCAAUUUUCACACAGUUAGCAGGAACCAAGCAACCACUGAAUAAAGAGUAGCCCAGGAAGAAUUACAAUCUCAUAGGCACUGAUAUAGCAGUGCUAAGAAGAGAUGACAUAACUCAGCUUUAGAUUGCACCCUCAAGAAAUCAUGCUGAAUUUCACAACAGGAGUGGCACAUAUCUCCAAAGAGCCACAGCCUUCCAGGUGGGCACCUCCUUUCCCCAGCUUCUCUUCCUUCUGACCGUCUGACUUGGAACCACAUGAGUAACUGACACAUCCUAUGGUCACAUGGACAGUGCCCUAUGAACAGCUCUCUGUUGACCAACAAAAAGAUGCUUCGUUUAUAGAUGGCAUUUUCAAGGUGGAAACACAGCAUCCUAUUUGGAAGACUGCUGCACUAAGACCAGCAUAUGAAAUGACUGAUUGAAGAAGGUGUCAGCAUCACUGCUCUGCUAUCCUUUAAGAGGCAGAUUUCCUGGUCGUACAUGGUCUUUAGUGAUUUGCAGGAAGAAUUUCAACUCACUUCACUGCCAGUUGGUGCCCG
rnacentral:lncRNA from 1 species